UACGUAUGAGGCAAGCGUUGUUCGGAAUUAUUGGGCAUAAAGGGCAUUCAGGCGGGACUUUAAGUCGGGUGUGAAAUCUCGAGGCUCAACCUCGAAACUGCAUCCGAUACUGAAGUUCUUGAGUUAGGGAGAGGAAAGCGGAAUUCCAGGUGUAGCGGUGAAAUGCGUAGAUAUCUGGAAGAACACCGGUGGCGAAGGCGGCUUUCUGGCCUAUAACUGACGCUGAAGUGCGAAAGCGUGGGGAGCAAACGGG
rnacentral:rRNA from 1 species